AUGGCGGAUAGAUACCGAGCAGGAGCAGGGGCAGGGGAGGGGAAGCAGAUGGAGGAUCGGGCCAAGAGGGCGGUGGAGUGGGCAGCCGCCGAGAGGAGCGCCAAGAAGCCCUGCUGCCACCGCAACCCAAGCGGCGGCGGCGGCGGCGGCGUGCCGGAGAUCUCCUCCCUCCUCUCCUCGCUCUCCGUCGCCAAGCGCCGCUCCCCGGCCGCCCACGACCACGACCACGCCCCCCUCGGCAAGCGGCCCCGUUACGACCACCACCAUGACCUCGACGCCCGGAUGCGAGGACUGGAGAUCAGCUGCGACACGACGGAAGCCAUCGAGGAGCAGGAGGAGGAAGGGCCGGACUGGGCGGGCUUCCUGCCGGAGCUGCUGGGCCUCGUCUGCGGCCGGCUCCCUCUCGCCGACGUGCCCCGGUUCGGCGCCGUCUGCAGGAGCUGGCGGUCGUGCGCGUUCCCGGUGUACCCGGCCGACGCCGCGCCCGUGCUGCUCAGCGCCACGCUCACCGCCGCCGGCGCCGUCCGCUGCUACAGCCCCCACCUGCACAGGACCUUCCUCCUCGCCGCGCCUCCCCUGCCCCAAGGCGGCAGGCUCUUCUCCGCGGGCGCCGGCGGGUGGGUCAUGCUCAGCACGCCCAGCACCACCGUCGUGCUCGCCAACCUCCUGGACGGGUCCGUGCACGAGACGCCCAAGCGGGAGGACGGCGACCAGGGGUUCAUGUGCUCCGCGCCGCGCCACCACGGCCACGACAAUGGCCGCAACAACAACAACAACAACAACAACAACAAUGGCUGCUGCUUUGACGUGUUCGCCGUCCGCGCCUUCUUGGGCACCAUCAGGGUCGAGAGCUGGGGCGGCGCCGGCAGCGUCUGGAAGAGCGUGGAGGAGCAGAGCUCCUUCAGAAUGUCCUGCUGCUGCAGCCCGGUGAUGCACAAGGGGAUGCUCUACUGCCUUGGACAGGAGGGCGCUCUAGGGGUCUACGAUCCCGGCCAGGCGACGUGGAGUGCGCUCCCAAAGCCCGCCGGCUUUGCCCCGGAGCUCGCCUACAAGAACUGCCACCUCGUCGGCUCGCGGUCGGAGCUGCUCGCCGUGCUGACGGGCAGCAACGGAGCUCCGCCCAUCUACGUGCUGAGGCUCGACGAGGCCAAGAUGGCAUGGAAGAGGGUCAAGUCAUUGGACGGCCGCUCCCUUUUCACGGGGACGACCUCGUCGGUGGCGGUGGCAAAGCCGGUUGCCGAAUCCAUGGCCGACAAGGUGUACCUUCCCAGGCUCUAUGGCCGGCCGCAGGUGAUCCAGGCGGAGCUCGCCGCCUCGGAUGGCCGCCUCUUCUUCGUUGUAAAAGCCAAGGCGGCAUAG
rnacentral:rRNA from 1 species